AUUCAGCUGACGAGUCUCAAAUAGGACGAAACAUACGUCUUCGAU
rfam:Schistosoma rodhaini strain Burundi genome assembly, scaffold: SROB_scaffold0007205